CGCGGAGGAUCUGCGGAGGCCGUAGCCCGGUUCAAGUAAUCCAGGAUAGGCUGUUACCAGGCAGCACGGCCUAUUCUUGAUUACUUGUUUCAGGAGGCGGCUGCUGGCGCCGGAGGAAGAU
rnacentral:precursor_RNA from 15 species